rnacentral:rRNA from 1 species
CGAUGAAGGACGUGGCAACCUGCGAUAAGCCCAAAGGAGCNGGUAACAGGCUUUGAUCUUGGGAUUUCCGAAUGGGGCAACCCACCCUGCGGGGUACUCAAUACUGAAUGCAUAGGUAUUGAGAGCGAACCUGGUGAACUGAAACAUCUAAGUAGCCAGAGGAAAAGAAAGCAAACGCGAUUCCCUUAGUAGCGGCGAGCGAACAGGGACCAACCGACAGACUCACGAACCACCUGGAAAGGUGGACCAAAGAAGGUGACAGUCCUGUAAUGACGAGUCGGCCAGCCCACGAGUAGUACGGAGCCCGUGAAACUCCGUGCGAACAUGGGGGGUCCACCCCCUAAGGCUAAAUACUCCUCGACGACCGAUAGUGAACCAGUAAGGUGACUGAACGAUGAAAAGCACCCCGACAAGGGGAGUGAAAAGUACCUGAAACCAUGUGCCUACAAGCGGUGGGAGCCUUCGGGUGACCGCGUGCCUUUUGCAUAAUGAUCCUGCGAGUUGGUCUUCAUAGCUAGGUUAAGCAGUAACGCUGCGGAGCCGUAGGGAAACCGAGCCUGAAAGGGCGUUGAGUUGUGGGGACCAGACGCGAAACCUUAGUGAUCUACCCAUGGGCAGGUUGAAGGCCGGGUAACACCGGCUGGAGGACCGAACUCACUAACGUUGAAAAGUUAGGGGAUGACCUGUGGGGUGGACUAAAAGUGUAAUCAAACUGGGAGAUAGCUCGUUCUCCGCGAAAUGCCUUUAGGGGCAGCCUCGUGUUACAUCCAGCAGGGGUAGAGCACUGACUCGGGCUGGGGGGUAUUGCACCUACCCACCUGAAUCAAACUCCGAAUACUGUUGGACUCUGUCACGGGAGUGAGCCCAUGGGAGAUAAUUUCCAUGGACGAAAGGGAAACAACCCUCACCACCGGCUAAGGUCCCCAAACGGGACUCAGUUCUUAAGGUAGUCAAGAUUCAGUGACAGCCAGGAUGUUGGCUUAGAAGCAGCCACCAUUUAAAGAGUGCGUAACAGCUCACUGGUCGAGAAUUUUGGCGCCGAUAAUGAUCGGGAAUCAAGUUUCGUACCGAAGCCGUGGACGAAAGUGGUAGCGGAGCGUUGCUGUCAGCGCUGAAGGCGUCUCGUGAGGGACGUUGGAGCGGCAGCAAGUGAAUAUGCAGGAUUGAGUAACGAUAAACGGAGUGAGAAUCUCCGUCGCCGAAAGCCUAAGGUUUCCUGGGGAAGGGAAAUCCGCCCAGGGUAAGGCGGGACCUAAGACGAGCCCGACAGGGGUAGUCGAUGGACAGCCGGCUAAUAUUCCGGCCCUCACGGUGAGAUCAAAGCGAAGUGCGGAUUCGAAAGCUACACGGGACAGUGAAGCGUCCGGCAGUGGGUGGAAGAGUUCCAAGAAAAGCUUCGUGGGCAAUCCGUGACCCGUACUAAAACUGACACAGGUAGGCGUGGUGAAUAACCUCAGGCGCUCGAGAGAAUGGUUGUGAAGGAACUAGGCAAAUUGACCCCGUACGUUCGCAAUAAGGGGGCCCUACCGGAAACGGAGGGCGCAGAGAAAAGGCGCUGACGACUGUUUAUCAAAAACACAGCACUGUGCAAACUCGAAAGAGGACGUAUACAGUGUGACGCCUGCUCGGUGCCAGAAUGUCAAGGAAGUAGGUUAGCUCCGGCGAAGCUUACAACCGAAGCACUGGUAAACAGCGGCCGUAACUAUGACGGUCCUAAGGUAGCGAAAUUCCUUGUCGGGUAAGUUCCGACGCGCAUGAAUGGCGUAACGAUUGGCGCACUGUCUCCACAACCAACUCGGUGAAAUAGUAGUGGCGG